rnacentral:rRNA from 1 species
UACGUAGGGUGCAAGCGUUAAUCGGAAUUACUGGGCGUAAAGCGUGCGCAGGCGGCUAUGCAAGACAGAUGUGAAAUCCCCGGGCUUAACCUGGGAACUGCAUUUGUGACUGCAUGGCUAGAGUGCGGCAGAGGGGGAUGGAAUUCCGCGUGUAGCAGUGAAAUGCGUAGAUAUGCGGAGGAACACCGAUGGCGAAGGCAAUCCCCUGGGCCUGUACUGACGCUCAUGCACGAAAGCGUGGGGAGCAAACAGG